AUUUCGGGGCUGGGAAAGGGCUCAGCUUUCCCUUUCGCCCCCCUGAAUGCGGGCACGGAGAGCAGCUACCGGCAGGGCAGAGUCUCACCCAACAAGCGGGGCGCUGCGGCGCCGGGACCGCCUCCCCCCUCCCUUCCCCGCAGGCUCUCGGGGCAGGGAUGGGGCAGGAAAAUCCCAAGCCAAGGGAAAGGAGAAGAUGCCUUCGGUCUGCCAGGAAAGGAGGGGGAAGGGAGAGGCGUAUGGGGAUGCGUCCCCCGUAGGGCAGUGGGCAGGACCAGUCACGGUCACGAGUGGGAGUCUUCAGCAGGGCUAGCUCCGGUGGGAUCCCACUGUUGGACGGACUUUCGCGAGGGCGGGGGUAGGAGAAAUGAUCGGCAUUCCUAACCACGAGGGAAACUCGCAGCUUUUCAAAGAGUUUCAGCUGGGCCUUGCUGCAAACCGAUUUCAGGUCUGCUCCUUCAACCCAUCAGAAGUCCAGGAGCCCAGGAAUCUGUCUCUGUGAGGCUCCCUGGCACCCACCCUGGGGUAACAUGUACUAAACUGGCCCAGCCCUUUAGGAGAGAAAAUGGAGAAAAGGACUCUUCGGGUAAGGGGCUAAGACUACUCAUAUUCGGGAAAGGACGGAGAGCCGGGCAGUGUCGAGCUGAGCCGUGACUGCCGUCGAUGUUGGUUUUAGCUGAGGUUAACGCCUGAGGGUGUCCCUAAGGGCGGCAACUUGUGCCCAGUGUGCGACCGGUGUGCGCAGGUGGCGGAGAGAAGGGGCCCCGGCGCUGACUCUGCCUCUAGCUCUCACAGGUA